ACGUCUAGCCUAGCGUAUGACCAUAGCAUCAUUGUCACUUAUGAAGGGUGGCAUAUUAAUUUCUCUAUGUUGCUGGGAAAGUAAAAACAAGCAGCAUUCCAGCCCAAUAGUAGAAGCCUGGAGAGAUGAGCUGAGGUCAGAAGACACAUAUGGCCUGACCCAUUCUGAUAACUUAAUUAUGUUCUUUUUGGAAAAGACCAUAAAAGGCUAAUGGAGUCAGAGAUAGUGACGGCAUUCAAGGGCACUGGGAAGCCGGGUGGAUUUAGAAGAUUCCACACUGACAUCUUGAAGCGUUCCAACUCACC
rnacentral:lncRNA from 1 species